rnacentral:rRNA from 1 species
GACGAACGCUGGCGGCGUGCUUAACACAUGCAAGUCGAACGGUAAGGCCCUUCGGGGUACACGAGUGGCGAACGGGUGAGUAACACGUGGGUGAUCUGCCCUGCACUUCGGGAUAAGCCUGGGAAACUGGGUCUAAUACCGGAUAGGACUCCUGGCUUCAUGGUUGGGGGUGGAAAGCUUUUGCGGUGUGGGAUGGGCCCGCGGCCUAUCAGCUUGUUGGUGGGGUAAUGGCCUACCAAGGCGACGACGGGUAGCCGGCUUGAGAGGGUGACCGGCCAAGCUGGGACUGAGAUACGGCCCAGACGCGUACGGGAGGCAGGAGUGGGGAUAAUUGUACAAUGGGCGCAAGCCAGAUGCAGCGAAGCCGCGUGAGGGAUGACGGCCUUCGGGUUGUAAACCUCUUUCAGCACCGACGAAGCGCAAGUGACGGUAGGUGCAGAAGAAGGACCGGCCAACUACGUGCCAGCCGCCGCUGUAA